GAUGAAGAACGUAGCGAAAUGCGAUAAGUAAUGUGAAUUGCAGAAUUCAGUGAAUCAUCGAAUCUUUGAACGCACAUUGCGCCCCCUGGUAUUCCGGGGGGCAUGCCUGUUCGAGCGUCAUUUCACCACUCAAGCCUCGCUUGGUAUUGGGCAACGCGGUCCGCCGCGUGCCUCAAAUCGACCGGCUGGGUCUUCUGUCCCCUAAGCGUUGUGGAAACUUUCGCUAAAGGGUGUUCGGGAGGCUACGCCGUAAAACAACCCCAUUUCUAAGGUUGACCUCGGAUCAGGUAGGGAUACCCGCUGAACUUAAGCAUAUCAAUAAGCGGAGG
rnacentral:misc_RNA from 1 species